CUUCCUCCCUUCUUGGCCGGUCUGCAGAUCGCCGCCGGCCGAGGCUUAUCACCGCCGGCCGAGGCUUGCCGCCGCCGCCCAGACUGGGAGAAUGAGCCGGCGCCAGGGUCUCUGUCGCCCAGGCUGGAAUGUGAUCACGGCUACUGCAGCCUCUAUCUUCAGGGCUCAAGUGAUUUUCUCACGUCAGCCUCGCAGUAGCUGGGACCACAGACAUGAGCCACCAUGCCUGGCUUUUGUUUUGUUUUGUUUUGUUUUUUUGUAGAGAGGGGGCGGGGUGUGAGACUCUCACCUUGUUGCCCAAACGGGUCUCCUGAGUUCAAGGAUCUGCCCUCCUCAGCCUCCCAAAGCGCAGGGAUUACAGUGUGAUACCCUACCUUGUUUUAACCUGAUUGACUCUCUUUUAGCUGAGAGAGCCAGACAGACUCCAUUUUGGUUUCUUCGCUUGCAGACCCUUGGCCCCCUCCCUUAAGGACAUAACUGGUGCAAGCUGACUCCAAGCACAUCCAGGAAUGCGCUUAUUGAUAAGAUACUGAGGCAAGCUGUACCAGCAGCUCCUGGGAACGUGCUCAGUUGAUGGUACCCAAAGCCCCUGCGUUUAUCACUUUGUGAUAAUUUAAGACCCAUGCACCUGGAACUGUUUAUUUUCCUGUAACUGUUUCUGUAACCAUUUAUCUUUUAACUUUUUGCCUGUUCUGCCUCUGUAAAUAUUGCUUCAGCUAGACGCCUCCUCCCUGAUUUAGACCAAGGUAUAAAAGGAAAUCUAGCCUCUUCUUCAGGGCCAAGAGAAUUUCGAGCUCUAGCCCUCUCUCGGUCGCCGGCAAUAAAGGACUCCUGAAUUAGUCUCAA